UGGGGAAUCUUGGACAAUGGGCGCAAGCCUGAUCCAGCCAUGCCGCGUGAGUGACGAAGGUCUUCGGAUUGUAAAGCUCUUUUUGGCGGGGACGAUAAUGACGGUACCCGCAGAAUAAGCCCCGGCUAACUUUGUGCCAGCAGCCGCGGUAAUACGAAGGGGGCUAGCGUUGUUCGGAAUUACUGGGCGUAAAGCGCACGUAGGCGGAUCUAUAAGUCAGGGGUGAAAUCCCGGGGCUCAACCUCGGAACUGCCUUUGAUACUGUAGAUCUCGAGUCCGGAAGAGGUGAGUGGAAUUCCUAGUGUAGAGGUGAAAUUCGUAGAUAUUAGGAAGAACACCAGUGGCGAAGGCGGCUCACUGGUCCGGUACUGACGCUGAGGUGCGAAAGCGUGGGGAGCAAACAGGAUUAGAUACCCAAGUAGUCCCUGAGCGGGCUGGCAAGGCGCAU
rnacentral:rRNA from 1 species